CUGCAAACUGGCUGGUGGAGAGCGCCUGAAGAGUCUGUGCGGGACCUUUGCCUACUGUGCGCUUGAGGAAUUCUUAGGUGAGGAGUUCUGCGGGUACAAGGCUGAUGCCUGGAGUGUGGGCGUGAUCCUGUACGCCAUGGUGGCAGGCUCACUGCCUUUUGUUGGAGAGGAUUGUGUGGAGCUGCGGGCAGCCAUCCUGUCUGGAUACUACAGAAUCCCCCACUAUGGAAACCCAGAGCUGUGUAACCUGGUGGACAGCUUACUGACCCGGGACCCUGAGGCCAGGCCCACAGUGGCAGACAUCAUGGGCCACCCAUGGCUCCAUGCAGGACAUGGAGCAGCUGGAACCAGUGACGAGUUUCUGUUUCUUCCACAGGAGCAGGAAGGAUGGGAAUUCCCAUGGGGCCUCUGCCCUCCACUGUGGCUUCAUGAAUGGGAUGACCCCUUGCCCCCUGUGCCACGCUGGGGGAUCUCCCAACAGCAGGGCUUCAGCAUCCCAGAAAUACAUGGGCGGAGUGAAUUGGAGCCUGCAGCACCCUCCUCAGGGUCCUGAAGCUCUAAGCUCCCUUGAGGACCUGGGAUUCCAGCUGGGCCAUCAAGCAGGCUCCCUGCCACCCAGGGCUCCCAGCCAGUGCCUUGUGCCCAGGACUUCAGCGGGAUCACAGCAAAGGGAAGCCCACGCCUCAGGCCAUCCCCGGUGCUCAGAGCUGUCCCGCUCUCCAGUGCCUCCAGGGACACUCAGGCUGCAACAGCAGAGCCCAAUGGACUUGAAGUUCCUGCAGCAUCGUUGGUGCCGUGACGUGGAGGGACUCAGCUCCAUGGGAAAGGUGAGUAAGGCAGACUGCUCCUCUGGUGUUUGGAGAACCCCUGAUCUUCUACAUGGUCAUUUAUCUUUUAGAUUCCCCAGGUCUCCGAGCCAGUUCAAAGCGAUUGGUGUGGGAUGCUGGUUGUAAGAUACAGGGCCCACGUUGGAUGACACUCUUUGUCCUCCUCCCACUUUAUUCUGUCUUUGAUUAUUGCCUGCACUCUCUGCUCAGGCGGCUCUCUGCCCUGGGAAUUCUUCUCACCCUGAGUUUCCUUCUCCAAGCCCAAGUUCCCAGGUCCCUGGAUGAGACACUCCUGCGACAACUUAGAGCUCCUAGAUCUGAACUGAGGAGCCUGCAUUGCAGACCGAGGUGGCCUCUCCCAUUGAGCUGCCUUCUUGUGUGCCCCAAAGAACUCAGACCCACAUGUCUGGGAAGAAGUCACCUGGCACCUUAACUCGUGCCCAUGCUUUCCGUUUUCCUGCCCAGGGUUUUCUUUGCCAAAGAACAUGUUGGAAGUCAUUCCUUCCCAGAGCCAUGCUCCUGAAGGUGACUCCCAGGGAAAAUUUCUAUCCUCAGGCCACAGCCACGUUCCCCCUCUGCACAUUCAACAGUUCUGCACUUGCCCACCCUCAAACUUUGGCCACAAGAGAGUUAGUUGAGACCCCCUUUGUAGAGCCUCAUUUCCAAGUUCAGACAUGAUGCAGGGACAGCAGGAGUGCCGGAGGACAGAGGCAAUGACUGCUAGUGGCAGCGCGAACCUCAAAGACUCAGCGACUUCUGGGAGAAUGGGGGGUCCUAAAACUCAGCUGCUGUGGGGGGGCGAGGAAGGAGGAGGCAGCUUCUGGGGUCCACGUGGUGACCUAGUGAUUCAGUGGCAGUGGGAGUGCCCAGGGAAGGAGCUGGUGGGGCCUGGGGGCCGUGUGGUGGGGCCUGGGAGUUACAAGAGGGCCCAGAUAACCACAGGGGAGCCCAAGAAGAAGUAGGAAGAAUCCUCGGGCAAUCACAGGGAGGCUGCUGGGGACCGUGCUGGGGGCCCCAUGACGGGUGGCUCCUGGUGGCUGCACUGGGCCAUAAAGAUGUGGCCUCACUCGGUGUGCCUGAGGAAGCAGAAGGAGGCAGCCAAGGCAGGCCAUGAAGUGGCAGGUGC
rnacentral:lncRNA from 1 species